GCCGAAAGGCUGAACCAGUAACUUGGAAGAAUGAAAAUGUAUUAGUAAUAAUACAAUAACGAUUAAUUCGUAUAAAAUUCUAAAUAGGAUAAUGAUAAUGACAAUUUCCUAUUUAUAAGUCUUGACCAAAUUACGUGCCAGCAGUCGCGGUAAUACGUAGAAGACUAGUGUUAGUCAUCUUUAUUAGGUUUAAAGGGUACCUAGACGGUAAAUUAAACUCUAAAUGAGUACUUUUUUACUAGAGUUUUAUAAGAGAAGGAAGAAUUUCUGGAGUAGAGAUAAAAUGCUUUGAUACCAGAAGGACUGGUAACGGCGAAGGCAUCCUUCUAUGUAAAAACUGACGUUGAGGGACGAAGGCUUGGGUAGCAAUAAGGAUUAGAUACCCUAGUAGUCCAAGCAGAAAAUGAUGAAUGUCAUAGGCUAGAUAAUAUAUUUAGUCUAUAAAUGAAAGUGUAAGCAUUCCACCUCAAGAGUAAUAUGGCAACAUAUAAACUGAAAUCAUUAGACCGUUUCUGAAACCAGUAGUGAAGUAU
rnacentral:rRNA from 2 species